GACGAACGCUGGCGGCGUGCUUAACACAUGCAAGUCGAGCGGGAAGGCUCCUUCGGGGGUACACGAGCGGCGAACGGGUGAGUAACACGUGAGUAAUCUGCCCUUCACUUCGGGAUAACCAUCGGACACGGUGGCUAAUAACGGAUAUGACUCGUCCCUGCAUGGGGGUGGGCGGAAAGUUUUUUCGGUGGAGGAUGUGCUCGCGGCCUAUCCGCUUGUUGUUGCGGUAACGGCUCACCAAGGCUUCUACGGGUAGCCGGCCGGAGAGGGUGACCGGACAGACUGGGACUGUAACACGGACCAGACUCCUACGGGAGGCAGCAGUGGGGAAUAGUGGACAAUGGGCGGAAGCCUGAUCCAGCAACGCCGCGUAAGGGAUGACGGCCUUCGGGUUGUAAACCUCUUUCAGCUCCGACGAAGCGCCCGUGAGGGUGGUGACGGUAGGUGCAGAAGAAGGACCGGCCAACUACGUGCCAGCCGCCGCAGUAAAAC
rnacentral:rRNA from 1 species